UUACAGGUGCCCACCAUCACACCCAGCUAAUUUUCUUGUAUUUUUAGUAGAGAUGGUUUUCACCAUGUUGGCUAGAUGGGUCUCGAACUUCUGACCUCGGGUGAUCCGCCCGACUCGGCCUCCCCUUCCAAAGUGCUGGGAUUACAGGCAUGAGCCACCGCUCCUGGCCAGUUUAGUUUUCACGCUAAGCUUUUUGUUCUGCAGGUUGCCCCCAAGUUUCCUGGCAGUGUGUGAUACUGAGGAGAUUCAUGUUACAUGUAAAGCUGUCCUCAUUUGUGACUAUGGACCUAUGGAGUUGGGACAAUCUCUAUGGGAAGCAGAAGGCAAGGACCCCGGUCAUUUUAGGUAGAAACAACAGCAUGCUAAUGCAAAAAAUUAUGCAGUGUGCU
rnacentral:lncRNA from 1 species